AACGAACGCUGGCGGCAUGCCUAACACAUGCAAGUCGAACGAGCCCUUCGGGGCUAGUGGCGCACGGGUGCGUAACGCGUGGGAAGCUGCCCUCUGGUUCGGAAUAACUCAGGGAAACUUGAGCUAAUACCCGAUAAUGACUUCGGCCCAAAGAUUUAUCGCCAGAGGCUGAGCCCGCGUCGGAUUAGCUAGUUGGUGAGGUAAAAGCUCACCAAGGCGACGAUCCGUAGCUGGUCUGAGAGGAUGAGCAGCCGCACUGGGACUGAGACACGGCCCAGACUCCUACAGGAGGCAGCAGUGGGUAAUAUUGGACAAUGGGCGAAAGCCUGAUCCAGCAAUGCCGCGUGAGUGAUGAAGGCCUUAGGGUUGUAAAGCUCUUUUACCCGGGAUGAUAAUGACAGUACCGGGAGAAUAAGCCCCGGCUAACUCCGUGCCAGCCGCCGCGGUAAGAC
rnacentral:rRNA from 1 species